rnacentral:pre_miRNA from 1 species
ACAUCAAGACUAGGCAUACACUGCUCAUCACUCCAGCAGUGUAUGCUAGUCUUGACAUCU